GGAAGGGACCUCAGUGGGUCAUCUGGUCCAACCUCCCUGCUCAAGCAGGGUCAUCCUGGAGGACAUGGCACAGGACUGCAGCCAGACAGCUCUGGAAUAUCCAGCGAGGGAGACUCCUCUCACAGUGACCAGGACGGGCCGGGGUGCGGCUCCUCCAUCCAGCCGCCCCUCAGACGCACCAGGGCCACAGAGCAGGAGCGGAGUAAAGGGGGAAUCCACUAGAACUGGUGACAUAAAGCAAAGCCAGGCAGUGAAUCCUGAUCAGUUCAGCUGAUUACAAGGAUGCCACCAUUCUACAGAAACAAAGUUAUCAGCAAAAAAAAAAUCUGAAAAACUAUUAUCUGUCUAGCCUUUGAGAACUUCAUCUGAUAUUGAAACAGGUCUCCUUGAAUAAUCAGUGGUCUUUGGCAGAGGAGUUGAGAUCACACUGACCUGGAACUCUGGAUGAAGUCUAUGUUUCUAGUCCAGCCUGAGGCAAUCUAUGUUCUAUCAAUUUGUGGGAUCAGAGGUGCAUUAAGAUUGGCCAUGUCUUCAUGUGCACUGACCAUCAAUGACGACAAUCAUACAAUCAGAAGGAUUAACUUCUAGCAAACAAGAAUUUGCAACCACUCCUUGCUCUACACACCUAUGCACAAAAUAUGUCUUUAUCAUGUGCUUGAUCUGCAUAGUUCUGUACCAUUCCUGGGGCACUGUAAUACUACUCAUUGAACUCCCUUUGUGCCCUUUACAUACCCAGUAGAAACACCUUCCUGUUGCUGCUGUGUAAAGAAAACAGUAACCACAGGCCUCAGCACAGGUCCUCUGAAUACAAAGCGGGAAAAACAGUAAAUCUCACAGGAAAUACUUCAUUCAAGC